AGUGGCGGACGGGUGAGUAACGCGUGGGUAACCUGCCUUACACAGGGGGAUAACACUUAGAAAUAGGUGCUAAUACCGCAUGAGCGCACAGGACCGCAUGGUCGAGUGUGAAAAACUGAGGUGGUGUAAGAUGGACCCGCGUCUGAUUAGCUAGUUGGUGAGGUAACGGCCCACCAAGGCGACGAUCAGUAGCCGGCCUGAGAGGGUGGACGGCCACAUUGGGACUGAGACACGGCCCAAACUCCUACGGGAGGCAGCAGUGGGGGAUAUUGGACAAUGGGGGGAACCCUGAUCCAGCGACGCCNCGUGAGUGAAGAAGUAUCUCGGUAUGUAAAGCUCUAUCAGCAGGGAAGAAAAAAUGACGGUACCUGAGUAAGAAGCCCCGGCUAACUACGUGCCAGCAGCCGCGGUAAUACGUAGGGGGCAAGCGUUAUCCGGAAUUACUGGGUGUAAAGGGAGCGUAAACGGUGAUGUAAGUCUGGAGUGAAAGGCGGGGGCCCAACCCCCGGACUGCUCUGGAAACUAUGUGACUGGAGUGCAGGAAAGGUGAGCGGAAUUCCUAGUGUAGCGGUGAAAUGCGUAGAUAUUAGGAGGAACACCAGUGGCGAAGGCGGCUCACUGGACUGUAACUGACGUUGAGGCUCGAAAGCGUGGGGAGCAAACAGGAUUAAAUACCCUGGUA
rnacentral:rRNA from 1 species